UACGGAGGGUGCAAGCGUUAUCCGGAUUCACUGGGUUUAAAGGGUGCGUAGGUGGGCUUGUAAGUCAGUGGUGAAAUCUCCGUGCUUAACAUGGAAACUGCCAUUGAUACUGUGAGUCUUGAAUUUUCUGGAGGUCAGCGGAAUAUGUCAUGUAGCGGUGAAAUGCUUAGAUAUGACAUAGAACACCGAUUGCGAAGGCAGCUGGCUACAGGGAUAUUGACACUGAGGCACGAAAGCGUGGGGAUCAAACAGG
rnacentral:rRNA from 1 species